GACGUAGGGCGCGAGCGUUGUCCGGAUUUAUUGGGCGUAAAGAGCUCGUAGGCGGUUUGUCGCGUCGUCCGUGAAAACUCACAGCUUAACUGUGAGCUUGCGGUCGAUACGGGCAGGCUAGAGUUCGGUAGGGGAGACUGGAAUUCCUGGUGUAGCGGUGAAAUGCGCAGAUAUCAGGAGGAACACCGGUGGCGAAGGCGGUUCUCUGGGCCUAAUCUGACGCUGAGGAGCGAAAGCGUGGGGAGCAAACAGG
rnacentral:rRNA from 1 species